rnacentral:pre_miRNA from 1 species
CAAUUUCUUGGGGCCUGAUUCUGCUCUUAUUGAAAUCAGUGAAGUUCUGCCAUUGACUUAAAUGGGAGCAGAAUGGGGACCUAAGAAGACA